GAGUUUGAUCCUGGCUCAGAUUGAACGCUGGCGGCAGGCCUAACACAUGCAAGUCGAGCGCGAAAACACUUCGGUGUGAGUAGAGCGGCGGACGGGUGAGUAAUGCUUGGGAAUCUGCCCAGUAGUGGGGGAUAACGUGUGGAAACGCACGCUAAUACCGCAUACGUCCUACGGGAGAAAGCAGGGGAUCUUCGGACCUUGCGCUAUUGGAUGAGCCCAAGUCAGAUUAGCUAGUUGGUGAGGUAAUGGCUCACCAAGGCGACGAUCUGUAGCUGGUCUGAGAGGAUGAUCAGCCACACUGGGACUGAGACACGGCCCAGACUCCUACGGGAGGCAGCAGUGGGGAAUAUUGCACAAUGGGCGAAAGCCUGAUGCAGCCAUGCCGCGUGUGUGAAGAAGGCUCUAGGGUUGUAAAGCACUUUCAGUGGGGAGGAAAAGUUUAAGAUUAAUACUCUUGAACCUUGACGUUACCUGCAGAAGAAGCACCGGCAAACUCCGUGCCAGCAGCCGCGGUAAUACGGAGGGUGCGAGCGUUAAUCGGAAUUACUGGGCGUAAAGCGCGCGUAGGUGGUUUGAUAAGCUAGCUGUGAAAGCCCCGGGCUCAACCUGGGAACUGCAGUUAGAACUGUCUGGCUAGAGUAUAAUAGAGGGUGGCGGAAUUUCCUGUGUAGCGGUGAAAUGCGUAGAUAUAGGAAGGAACAUCAGUGGCGAAGGCGGCCACCUGGACUAAUACUGACACUGAGGUGCGAAAGCGUGGGGGAGCAAACAGGAUUAGAUACCCUGGUAGUCCACGCCGUAAACGAUGUCUACUAGCCGUUGGGAGACUUGAUCUCUUAGUGGCGCAGUUAACGCGAUAAGUAGACGCCUGGGGAGUACGGCGCAAGUUAAAACUCAAAUGAAUUGACGGGGGCCCGCACAAGCGGUGGAGCAUGUGGUUUAAUUUCGAGCAA
rnacentral:rRNA from 1 species